GUGUUGGGAAGCAAGUGUGGUGUGUGUUGAAGGCAGGGGCUGUGUGUGUUGGAGGCAGGAGCUGUGUGUGUGUUGGAGGCAGAGGCUGUGUGUGUGUGUUUUAUGCAGAGGCUUGUGUGUGUUAGAGGCAGGGGCUCUGUGUGUUUGAAGCAGGGGCUGUGUGUGUUUGAAGCAGGGGCUGUGUGUGUUUGAGGCAGGGGCUGUGUGUGUUUGAGACAGGGUGUUUUGUGUUAUAGAGGUUUAAACUCUGUGUUCCAGUGGCGAGGGCUGUGACAGAUGUCAUCCUUGUAUUUUUUUU